GGCAAUGCAGGCACGCUUGUGGCAGAAUUGUGGGAAAUGUUAGUAGUGUGUGUGAUUGAGCAGAUUUCUCAAAAACAAAAAUUUUCAAAACUUGCAGUCCCAAAGAAAUCAAGAUUUUAUCUGAGCAACCUUUGAACUUCCUAUCCUUAAGAUUUUGAGAGCUCUCAGAUUGCUCAAGGAAGAGCUAGAAGUUAACUUCCUGGGCAAGCUUAAAGACAGAAUUUGAAGAUGGUCAAGUUUCUGUUUGCCUGAUUCUGAAGAGUAAUGUGGAGCUGAUCCUUCCCCAACCAUCCAGCCACCUGCUGAAGCUCACACAGACAAGAACUAAAUUCUCUUUGGCUGAGGCUCAGCCUGCUGAAAAGCCACCAUGUGGCUACCACAUUGGGGAGCAGUGUUUGCAAGCCCCGGGGGAGACCAUCUAGUCACACGUUGUGCUCUCUGCUUGUUGGCAUCUUCAGAAAGCUGGAGAAAUCACAGUGGCUCGCCACCAGCCCUGGCAUCACAGCACGGACAAUGGUGGCGGCAGUCCCGGGGAGGUGACAUGCAGCCUCUUAGCCUUGAUAAAAUUCCAGCAUACUGUGCAGUAUCUGUUUGAAUCAUUUGCCCAGUUUUUGCCUUUUGAGGUUGCUGGGAUACCUCCAGGCGCCCUGGGCUGUGGUUCCUGUUAGCAGGCUGCCUCCCAUACUAAUAGGGACUCCAGCAGGGGGAUGUGACUGUCACAGCUCCCAGCUCUUCU